rnacentral:rRNA from 1 species
GGGUUGUGAGGUUAAGCGACUAAGCGUACACGGUGGAUGCCCUGGCAGUCAGAGGCGAUGAAGGACGUGCUAAUCUGCGAUAAGCGCCGGUAAGGUGAUAUGAACCGUUAUAACCGGCGAUUUCCGAAUGGGGAAACCCAGUGUGACUCGUCACACUAUCAUUAACUGAAUCCAUAGGUUAAUGAGGCGAACCGGGGGAACUGAAACAUCUAAGUACCCCGAGGAAAAGAAAUCAACCGAGAUUCCCCCAGUAGCGGCGAGCGAACGGGGAGGAGCCCAGAGCCUGAAUCAGCAUGUGUGUUAGUGGAAGCGUCUGGAAAGGCGCGCGAUACAGGGUGACAGCCCCGUACACAAAAGCGCAUGUGCUGUGAGCUCGAUGAGUAGGGCGGGACACGUGGUAUCCUGUCUGAAUAUGGGGGGACCAUCCUCCAAGGCUAAAUACUCCUGACUGACCGAUAGUGAACCAGUACCGUGAGGGAAAGGCGAAAAGAACCCCGGCGAGGGGAGUGAAAAAGAACCUGAAACCGUGUACGUACAAGCAGUGGGAGCACAGGUUUACCUGUGUGACUGCGUACCUUUUGUAUAAUGGGUCAGCGACUUAUAUUCUGUAGCAAGGUUAACCGCAUAGGGGAGCCGGAGGGAAACCGAGUCUUAAUUGGGCGUUAAGUUGCAGGGUAUAGACCCGAAACCCGGUGAUCUAGCCAUGGGCAGGUUGAAGGUUGGGUAACACUAACUGGAGGACCGAACCGACUAAUGUUGAAAAAUUAGCGGAUGACCUGUGGCUGGGGGUGAAAGGCCAAUCAAACCGGGAGAUAGCUGGUUCUCCCCGAAAGCUAUUUAGGUAGCGCCUCGUGAAUUCAUCUCCGGGGGUAGAGCACUGUUUCGGCUAGGGGGCCAUCCCGGCUUACCAACCCGAUGCAAACUGCGAAUACCGGAGAAUGUUAUCACGGGAGACACACGGCGGUUGCUAACGUCCGUCGUGAAGAGGGAAACAACCCAGACCGCCAGCUAAGGUCCCAAAGUCAUGGUUAAGUGGGAAACGAUGUGGGAAGGCCCAGACAGCCAGGAUGUUGGCUUAGAAGCAGCCAUCAUUUAAAGAAAGCGUAAUAGCUCACUGGUCGAGUCGGCCUGCGCGGAAGAUGUAACGGGGCUAAACCAUGCACCGAAGCUGCGGCAGCGA